rnacentral:rRNA from 1 species
AAGAGACAGCAGUAGCCGCGGUAAUACGGAGGGUGCAAGCGUUAAUCGGAAUUACUGGGCGUAAAGCGCACGCAGGCGGUCUGACAAGUCAGAUGUGAAAUCCCCGGGCUUAACCUGGGAACUGCAUUUGAAACUGUCAGGCUGGAGUCUUGUAGAGGGGGGUGGAAUUCCAGGUGUAGCGGUGAAAUGCGUAGAGAUCUGGAGGAAUACCGGUGGCGAAGGCGGCCCCCUGGACAAAGACUGACGCUCAGGUGCGAAAGCGUGGGGAGCAAACAGGAUUAGAUACCCCUGUAGUCCCUGUCUCUUAUAC